GGAAGACUCCAGAAUCCACUCUGGCUGGAAUCCGGUGGAUACAGCAGUGUUACAGAUUUCAGAAGAGCAAAGAUGAGGACUCCUACUUCAUCCUUAAUAGUUUAACUGGAUUGGAAAUCAAAAAAAAUCCUGAUUCUUCUUCCACAGAAGUUUCAUUUGUCAGUGUGGGACUGCUGAGUCACCUGAAGAACUCAUUUCAUUCUCCACGAUGUUGAUUUACAGAAAUGUUUCACAGGAACUGAUUCCUCCCAAAGGGUGAACUAGUGUGUUUCCAUAGAUUACCUCUGUAUGAAUGUACUUCUUAAAUGAAGGCAAGUGUUUGUCCUUUUUUGUUCCUCAGGUACAGUACGUGAUAUUAAGGGCAGGCGGUCAACACUGGGGGAAGACAAGAAGCAGACGUACUUCCAAGAGGGAGCUGCAGUGAGGACACAGCCUGGUCACUGAGGUCAGAGGAGGCGCUGAAAGGUUUCCCUAAUAGUUCCUGGUGAAUCAAAGCAGGACCAUAAAGGUUGCUGGACUGCAUGAUGGCCUUACCCCUGAGCAGUCGUCCUGUUAAAGGAGGAACCAGUUAGAAGCUGUUUUCAAAGUAGCUGAGCAGAUUUCAUCUCAAAUCAAAGCAGCUCGUGCUCUUUCUGCUUCCAUUCUGAUGGCAAGAAGAAGAAGAAGGAGAAGAAUGCUUCAGCGAAGUGGCGUUCAUGGUCUCAGUGGACAGUCAUGGUCACACACUGCAUGUGGUUUUAAAAGCAACAUUGUUCACCACAACAAUGGAGAUGUGUAAUAUCAGUGCAGCUACGGUUUGUUCUUGAACAUCAGUUCUGUUUUCUACUUUGACCACUUAGACCAAAAAAGUGUUGUUUUCAGAUUCUUUCUUAUAAAUCUGUAAAUCACCUGCUCAUUUUUUAUUACAAUUAGUUUCACAUAAAUAGUAGUGUUUCCUUUAUGGUCUUUUAAUGCUUACACUAGACUGUACACGUCUACAUUAGAGACAUUUCUGUUACCUAUUUAUGAGAGUGGGCUGCUUUACUACAAUUUGGAAAUGGAUGCAAAAUUGUGCUAUUGUUUGUUUUUUAAUAUGAUUCAAUUCAAUUCAAUAAAACUUUAUUGAUCCUGAAGGUUGACCCCG